CAGGGCUUGACAUGUCUGGAACCUUUAGGAAACUAGAGGGUGCCCGCAAGGGAGCCAGAACACAGGUGGUGCAUGGCUGCCGUCAGCUCGUGUCGUGAGAUGUUGGGUUAAGUCCCGCAACGAGCGCAACCCCCGUUGUUAGUUGCCAUCAAGUAAAGUUGGGCACUCUAGCGAGACUGCCGGUGACAAACCGGAGGAAGGUGGGGACGACGUCAAGUCAUCAUGCCCCUUAUGCCCUGGGCUACACACGUGUUACAAUCCACGGGACAGUACGAUGCAAUCUCGCGAGAGGGAGCGAACCGUCAAACCCGUGGUCAGUUCAGAUCGCAGGCUGCAACUCGCCUGCGUGAAGUCGGAAUCGCUAGUAACCGCCGAUCAGCACGCGGCGGUGAAUACGUUCCC
rnacentral:rRNA from 1 species